rnacentral:rRNA from 1 species
GAUGAACGCUAGCGGAGGCUUAACACAUGCAAGUCGAGGGGCAGCAUAGGGUAGCAAUACUCUGAUGGCGACCGGCAAACGGGUGAGUAACGCGUAUGCAACCUACCCUGUACAGGGGGAUAACCCGGAGAAAUUCGGACUAAUAUCCCGUAAUAAUAUCCGGAGGCAUCUUUGGAUAUUUAAAGUUCCGACGGUACGGGAUGGGCAUGCGUAACAUUAACUGGUUGGUAAGGUAACGGCUUACCAAGGCUAUGAUGUUUAGGGGUCCUGAGAGGGUGGUCCCCCACACUGGUACUGAGACACGGACCAGACUCCUACGGGAGGCAGCAGUGAGGAAUAUUGGUCAAUGGGCGCAAGCCUGAACCAGCCAUCCCGCGUGCAGGAAGACGGCCCUAUGGGUUGUAAACUGCUUUUCCAGGGAGAGAAACUUACGCACGUGUUGCGUGACUGACGGUACCCUGGGAAUAAGCAUCGGCUAACUCCGUG